AGAAACGGCGUAAAAAACGCCGUUUAAUUAUUCAAAAUGCCGAAAAAAACGGCGUUCUGUUUCGACAAACGCCGUUUUUUCCGACUCUCACAUGGCGCCCUGAACGCACCAUCCGAGUGACGUAAAAAGCGGCGUUCAAAGACAGACGGAAACGCCGUUUUUUCCGCCACUCGGCAGAAAACGCCGUUCAAAGAUGCAUAAAAACGGCGUUUUUUACAGCGUUCUGUGCCAGCUGUAACGGCGUUUAAAACGGCGUUUUAUUGAAAUUAUGCAGGGCACUCCCCAUGGUUCCCUCAUCCAAUUACUUUCAACUCAUUUCACCCAAUCAAAGAAGAGGAAGUGCAGACCACACUAAUGCAUCACCGAUUCACUUUGCUGCUAAGUGAUUGCCUAUUCAGUACCAGUGCUUGUUACAGUAUUGACUUGUAUUAUAAUCCUACUAUGCAUUUUGAUGUGUUUAAGGCAUGAUCAAGCAAACAAACGACAGAAUACUUUUUCUGAAACCUUAACUGUGGUACCUGUUAUGGCAGCUAACAGACACUCGGCGCAUGGCUCCUUUGUUUAUGUUAGGGAUCAGCUGUUAGCGCUGCGCCCUGCAUCUGCGCUACCGGCAGACAGACCCUACGUCCCCAGUGAGGGAAGAGACGGGGGUGAUGUCUACCGAGAAGGACACCUUACACACCAUCUCUCCUUCCUGUAAUCACUGUAAACGUGAGAUCGCUCCCUAAUAUGAUUGAGGAGCUAAUGACGCUAACUCGGUCACAGUGGCAGUACCCCGACGCUGCCCGGUACUCCCUCUGUGAGUAGGCUGCCCGGCUUCCAGCUGCUGCGGCCGGACAAGACGAGAGACAGCGGUGAGAGGAAAGGAGGGGGACUGGGCAGUGUUUGUUAAAGACAGUUGUGGGACCUCUGGGCACAUUGCUGUGAAAGAACAACUCUGCAACAGAGACAUUGAGCUAUUAGCCGUUAGCAUCCGUGGAGGCAGCCUGUGACUCUCUGUGGUCUGCAGACUGCAGACGCAAUCUCCGAGAGCUCUUCUUCUAAUAUCAGGGGACUUUAAUCAUGUCUCGCUGGACUCCACACUGCCCACCUUCACCCAGUAUGUGACCUGCCCCACCGUAGGCAAUAAAACAUUGUACUUAAUGUAUGCCAAUGAAAAAGUGUCAUACAGUUCAUCACCUCUCCCUGCCCAGGGAAGAUCUGAUCGUAAUUAGUGCGCCUUGUCCCUGUGUGCAGCACUUAGUGUGCACGGAGCCACCAAUCACCCACGCAGUGCAGAGAUGGUCCGCGGAAGGCAUAUGAAUAAAUAAUAAAAGCAAAUAAAUGACAGAAUGCUUUUUUUUUUUGUUUUUUUUUUGUGUGAAACAAGUGGAGACAUUAACUUUGAUCAAAAUGCUUUUGUGUUCAGUUUAAAGUAAUACCACUGUAUAAUAGCCUUCAAUUGUAAUAUUAUUAACAGCAUCUCAGGAAUAUUUUGCCCCUUCAACAUGCAUUGAAAAAGAACCUGAUAUGCAGUUUUACACCACCGUCAUUGGCCUCAUUAAAGAUGGUGUUGAGUCUGUACACCGGCAGGAAGUUGAGAGGCUUGUACUCUGGUGUAGUCAGCACAAGCUGGAACUGAACACGCUUAAGACUGUGGAGAUAUCCCUCAACACUGCCUCCCCUCACCAUAUCUACACCAGUUCUACACUGCAGUCAUUGAGUUUCUCCUGUGCUCCUCCAUCACAGUCCGGUAUGAAGCAGCCACUAAGCAGGACAGGAGCAGGCUGCAGUGGACUGUACUGGCAGCAGAAAAGAUCAUUGGCACCCCCUGCCCUCCAUCCAGGACCUGCACCUCUCAAGAACCAGGAAACGGGAAGGGAAAAUCAUCACAGACCCCUCACACCCUGGACACAGACUUUUUUGACCUGCUGCCCUCUGGCAGACGGUACAGAAGCCUUCAAACCAGGACCACCUGACACAGGAACAUUUUCUUUCCCCUCGCCAUCUCCCUCCUAAGUGGUUGAACUGUCACACUGCUAGACUGCAACUGCAGUCUUUGGUAUUAACUUCUGUAAUCUCUGUAUAAAAGAAUUAGAUUGUGUAUUAUAUUGUUAGUUUAUACACCUGUGUGCAUAUGUGCAUGUGUAUUUAUGCAUGUCCAUACACAUAGAUGGAUUGUGUUUUACAUUUUUUUGCUUGAGAGACGCCCUCAAUCGGAACCUAAUUCCUUGUAUGUGUUUGUGCAUAUACUUUGCCAAUAAACGCGAUUCUGAUUAUGA